UGCUUAUGUGAAAAGGAAAGAGUCGGAUGACAAAAUUGAGCAAAAUUGCAGCAGUAGACUGCUGACAUUGUGGGCAAUGAGGUUUUGUACUGAGUCACAUGCCUAGACAUGGACACCAGCUGCUAUUUCCCUUUCUACUUAGUGACUUCCAGAAUCACGCAGGCUAGACAAAAACAUGUACCAGAGACACUGCAUCUUUUCCACACAUGAAAAAGAACACAAGGCAUGAUGGGUAAGCAGCGUGCCCAGAAUUGCUCUGCUCUCUUUCCACUUUAUUCAGCAUGGAGGAUAAAUCUUAAGCUAAGCAAAUAAAACAAAAUAAAGACUUAGAGAAGAGAUAGCA
ensembl:lncRNA